rnacentral:rRNA from 1 species
UACGGGGGGGGCAAGCGUUGUUCGGAAUUACUGGGCGUAAAGGGCUCGUAGGCGGCCAACUAAGUCGGACGUGAAAUCCCCAGGCUCAACUUGGGAACUGCGUCCGAUACUGGAUGGCUUGAAUUCGGGAGAGGGAUGCAGAAUUCCAGGUGUAGCGGUGAAAUGCGUAGAUAUCUGGAGGAAUACCGGUGGCGAAGGCGGCAUCCUGGACCGACAUUGACGCUGAUGAGCGAAAGCCAGGGGGGCAAACGGG